rnacentral:rRNA from 1 species
GGAGUUUGAUCCUGGCUCAGAACGAACGCUGGCGGCAUGCCUAACACAUGCAAGUCGAACGAGACCUUCGGGUCUAGUGGCGCACGGGUGCGUAACACGUGGGAAUCUGCCCUUUGCUUCGGAAUAACAGUUAGAAAUGACUGCUAAUACCGGAUGAUGUCGAAAGACCAAAGAUUUAUCGGCAAAGGAUGAGCCCGCGUAGGAUUAGGUAGUUGGUGGGGUAAAGGCCUACCAAGCCGACGAUCCUUAGCUGGUCUGAGAGGAUGAUCAGCCACACUGGGACUGAGACACGGCCCAGACUCCUACGGGAGGCAGCAGUGGGGAAUAUUGGACAAUGGGCGAAAGCCUGAUCCAGCAAUGCCGCGUGAGUGAUGAAGGCCUUAGGGUUGUAAAGCUCUUUUACCAGGGAUGAUAAUGACAGUACCUGGAGAAUAAGCUCCGGCUAACUCCGUGCCAGCAGCCGCGGUA